rnacentral:lncRNA from 1 species
UUUUUAGGAAAAACUUCAAAAACCCCCUCUAUGGUUUCACACUUUUUCAUUUUAGUACCCUGUGGUUUAAAGUGUAUCAAGUUAGUACCCUGUGGUUUCUCACUUUAUCACUUUAGUACCCCGUGGUUUAAAGUGUAUCAAGUUAGUACUCUGUGGUUUUGCACUUUAUCACUUUAGUACCCUGUGGUUUCACACUUUAUCACUUUAGUAUCCUAUAGUUUAAAAAACCACAGGGUACUAAUUUGAUACAAAAUCAAAACCACAGAGUACUAAAGUGAUAAAAUGCAAAACCACAGGGUACUAACUUGAUACACUUUAAACCACAGAGUACUAAAAUGAUAAAGUGAGAAACCACAAAAUACUAACUUGAUACAUUUUAAACCACAGGGUACUAAAGCGAAAAAAAUUGAAACCACAAGGGGGGUUUUUGAAGUUUUCCCUAAUUUUUAUUACUUUUUUAUUAUUUUUUUUCAUUAUAGACUUUGUCGACACCCAGAGUAAAGCCACUUACACCAUUAUAUUUUGGUAAAAUAGAUGAAAAUACAAUUUAGGUCAAAUCAAACAACAGAAGUUGGCGUUCAGAGAAAAACAAUUUCACCUCCAACUACUGAAAUAUUUGGUUGGUUUGUAUCUUUCUUAGAUUUUUGUGUGGACCCUCCCAAAUUCCUUUCUUUGACCCUCAUUUAGUCCAAUAUUUUGGCUAAUAUAAAUAAAAGAAAAACUCCAAAUACCAUUUACGUAGUUUCGCAUUUUUUCAUUUCAGUACCAUGUAGUUUAAAGUAUAUUACUUUAGCAUCCUGUGGUUUAUUUUCCUUUUUUGUUAUCCUCUCCGUUAAUUUUUUUCGUUAAAUUAGUGAUAAAGUUAAAAUUAAAGGGUAGUAAAGUGAAUAUUCGAUAAACUAUAGAAGUGAUAUUUGAAGUUCUUUUUAUAUGAUUUAACAUAAAGUUAACGGAGAUACUGAAGAAAAUAGAAAAAUAAUAACGGAGUUAAUCAUAAUAUAAAAUU